rnacentral:rRNA from 1 species
GAUGAACGCUGGCGGCGUGCCUAAUACAUGCAAGUCGAGCGAACAGACGAGGAGCUUGCUCCUCUGAUGUUAGCGGCGGACGGGUGAGUAACACGUGGAUAACCUACCUAUAAGACUGGGAUAACUUCGGGAAACCGGAGCUAAUACCGGAUAACAUGUUGAACCGCAUGGUUCAACAGUGAAAGACGGUCUUGCUGUCACUUAUAGAUGGAUCCGCGCUGCAUUAGCUAGUUGGUAAGGUAACGGCUUCCAAGGCAACGAUGCGUAGCCGACCUGAGAGGGUGAUCGGCCACACUGGAACUGAGACACGGUCCAGACUCCUACGGGAGGCAGCAGUAGGGAAUCUUCCGCAAUGGGCGAAAGCCUGACGGAGCAACGCCGCGUGAGUGAAGAAGGUCUUCGGAUCGUAAAACUCUGUUAUUAGGGAAGAACAAAUGUGUAAGUAACUAUGCACGUCUUGACGGUACCUAAUCAGAAAGCCACGGCUAACUACGUG